UACGUAGGGUGCAAGCGUUGUCCGGAAUUAUUGGGCGUAAAGAGCUCGUAGGCGGUCUGUCGCGUCGGCUGUGAAAUCCCGAGGCUCAACCUCGGGUCUGCAGUCGAUACGGGCACACUGGAGUGUUGCAGGGGAGACUGGAAUUCCUGGUGUAGCGGUGAAAUGCGCAGAUAUCAGGAGGAACACCGGUGGCGAAGGCGGGUCUCUGGGCAACAACUGACGCUGAGGAGCGAAAGCGUGGGGAGCGAACAGG
rnacentral:rRNA from 1 species